GACAUUGCCCAUUUUGCAUUUCUUCUGAGUCGAAAGGCUAGCCUGAAGGACAAGGUGUUCCCCAGUCCUUCCAAGGCUCCCGUGGCCAAGGGGAAAGUCCAGUCUCCAGGGGCAGAGGAUGGGGCUGAGGCGAGUCCCAGCAAAGUUGCCAAAACCUGGACCUUCACUGAGAAGAACCGAGGGCCAAAGCACUCCUUUAGAGUCCGGGGCAGCGCCUCACGCCAAAACUCAGAGGUGCUGAUUGAAAUGCAGGAUGAAGACCAUGGACUGAAGAGUUCUCCAGGUUAGACAAGUCAUCAUGACAUGUCUUCAAUUUAGAUGGUGAUAUACUCUGUAAUGUCUAG
rnacentral:lncRNA from 1 species